rnacentral:rRNA from 1 species
AAGUCGAGCGAACGGACGAGAAGCUUGCUUCUCUGAUGUUAGCGGCGGACGGGUGAGUAACACGUGGAUAACCUACCUAUAAGACUGGGAUAACUUCGGGAAACCGGAGCUAAUACCGGAUAAUAUUUUGAACCGCAUGGUUCAAAAGUAAAAGACGGUCUUGCUGUCACUUAUAGAUGGAUCCGCGCUGCAUUAGCUAGUUGGUAAGGUAACGGCUUACCAAGGCAACGAUGCAUAGCCGACCUGAGAGGGUGAUCGGCCACACUGGAACUGAGACACGGUCCAGACUCCUACGGGAGGCAGCAGUAGGGAAUCUUCCGCAAUGGGCGAAAGCCUGACGGAGCAACGCCGCGUGAGUGAUGAAGGUCUUCGGAUCGUAAAACUCUGUUAUUAGGGAAGAACAUAUGUGUAAGUAACUGUGCACGUCUUGACGGUACCUAAUCAGAAAGCCACGGCUAACUACGUGCCAGCAGCCGCGGUAAUACGUAGGUGGCAAGCGUUAUCCGGAAUUAUUGGGCGUAAAGCGCGCGUAGGCGGUUUUUUAAGUCUGAUGUGAAAGCCCACGGCUCAACCGUGGAGGGUCAUUGGAAACUGGAAAACUUGAGUGCAGAAGAGGAAAGUGGAAUUCCAUGUGUAGCGGUGAAAUGCGCAGAGAUAUGGAGGAACACCAGUGGCGAAGGCGACUUUCUGGUCUGUA